CUCCCUUUGAGAGCAUUCACCAGAAUGAUCUUGAUCAGAUUAACCGGGGUUGGGUGCCAACUGCCUAGGGAUUAGGACACAGAAGAGAAGGGCACCAAGGAAGGCAGAAGAAACAGCACAACAACUGCCUGAGCUACAUGAUGACUCCAUCCCCAGUUGCAGCAGAACCUGCCUACUGCUCCCUGAACUCAUCAUGCCCAUGGAUGGCCGCCUAUUACAAACACUUGUGACUGAAGAAGUCAGCAGAGAUGUUCUGAAGAUGUAGAUUCCAUUCUGAAAGAAAAGUGAAGUUUGAACCACACUUCGAGAAGUGCCAACUGCAGGGAGGGUGAAAGGCUAGUCCUCCAGUUCCCUGGGAUGAAUGUGGGCACAAGAAGUAAAUGUUACUGAAGAUGAUCAACUUUGACAUUGUCACAUGGUGGAAAGGGGAUUUGAGGUUAUAAAAGGGCUUGGAAGAUAUAAAACCAUUACUGUAUACAGUGCCCACUGACUCAAAAAAUAUCUGAA
rnacentral:lncRNA from 1 species